AGCAGCAGCAGCAGCGGAGCGCGGCGGAGAGCCAGCUCAUCGAAGCGACGGAAGGAUGGUGCCGCGGCUCUGGGGGCGGCGGCGCUAGACUCGGCCGUGCCCGCUGGCUCACUGUCCGGCGCCGCGGGCCGCUGAGCCAGCCGGAGCUCAGCGGUUCACCUCAGCAGGCCGGCAGGACACGUCUGUCAGUCAGUCACCAGACGUCUGGCCAGAAGCGGCCGACUCCGGCGGUGCCCUGGCGUGUCAACCGAGCCGCGGCCGGACGGCCGUCGCCCCCUCGCCGCCAGUGCCGUCCAAGUUUGUCUGCAAUGAGAUACGGGAACCGACUACGAGAGCGCCCUAGAGGGCGGCACCGGCGCGCCGGCAGCCCGGCGGGUGGAGUACCGCGCCGGCAGCGCCGGGCCCGCCGCCGCCGGCCGCGGCCGCUCGCCCACGCCGCCGUCCCGGUUCGAGUCGCCGGCGGCGGCCCGGUCCCAGCCGGCUGACGGGGGGCGCUUCAGACGGAGCCCGACUGUGAGCCGGGGCCGGCUCCGUGCGGCAGACGUCCAGCCCGAGCAGCCGGCUGGGCCGGCGGACCACCGCCGCCGGGCACGGAGUGAGCCACCGAUCCAGGGAAUGAGUCUGUCGGUGGCGGUGGAAUAUAGAGAGGAUCCGGACGGACGAAGGAUGGCCAUGGAGGACUGGAGAGCCGCGGUGACGGCGCUGGUUCACCGUGGGAGGUUCGCCGCCGCGCUGUCCGUGUGCUGGAUACCGUGCACCGCUCCGGAGCCGGGCUUAACAGGGCCGGUACCGGCCCGCACCCGCCCAGGGCGGCACGCUGCCAGCGCCGCCCGAGGAGAACGGGAGCAGCGGCAACACUGGCGGGCCUUGGAGCAUCGGCGGCCACGCCGGCCUCCAGAGUGGGUGCUCGGACUCGGGGCCCUGUUUCACGGCCGCUGCUAGCGCGCUGCCAGCACACGUGUCAAAUUGAGUUUCCAUGGAGACAUCAACAAACUCGUAUCUCCAACACGGCCACAGUUUGUGACGUCAGGUCGCGAAAUCCGCUGGCAGCGUGAUAGCAGCGUCCAGUGAAACACCGCUCUGCAGUCACUGAGACAGAAAGAAUAAUAUUCAAGCAUCGAUAAAUGCACCAUUAGUAACCUUGAAAGAGCAAUAGUUUAUUUUUUUACGGUGAAUAAAACAUAGGCAGUUGAAAAUA